GCCUCCCUAGCGCAGCGGUAGCGUUAUUGCUUACCACGCAAGGGGGCCCGGGUUCGAUUCCCGGGAGAGGGCU